rnacentral:rRNA from 1 species
ACUCAAAUGAAUUGACGGGGACUUGCACAAGCGGUGGAUCAUGCGGCUCAAUUCGAUGAUAAACGAAAAACCUCACCAGGGUUUGAAACCCAGACGACCGAUUAGGAAACUAAUUUUUCGCAAGACGGCUGGGCAGGUGAUGCAUGGUCGUCGUCAGUUCGUGGCUUGAGUUGUUCCCUUCAGUGGGGUAACGAACGCAACCCGCGUUGCCUGUUUUACAAGUCAGGCGAGACUGCCCCCUCACGGGGGAGGAAGGUGCGGAUGACGCCAGAUCAGCAUGUCCCUCUGAUAUCCUGGGCUGCACGCAUGAUACAAUGGCAUAGACAACGGGUCGCAACGGGGUAACCCUGAGCUAAUCCUUAGAAACUAUGCCCCAGUUCGGAUUGGGGUCUGCAACUCGACCCCAUGAAGCCGGAAUCGCUAGUAAUCGCGGGUCAGCCAUACCGCGGUGAAUACGUUCUCAAGUCUUGUACACACCGCCCGU